CCCUUAGACGUUCUGGGCCGCACGCGCGCUACACUGACGAAGGCAACGAGCUACUCUUCACCGAAAGGUGUGGGUAAUCUUUUGAAACUUCGUCGUGCUGGGGAUAGAUCCUUGCAAUUUUUGAUCUUAAACGAGGAAUUCCUAGUAAGCGCAAGUCAUCAACUUGCGUUGAUUACGUCCCUGCCCUUUGUACACACCGCCCGUCGCUACUACCGAUUGAAUGGUUUAGUGAGGCCUUCGGAUCCGCGAUUUUAUUGUGGAGAAGUUGGACAAACUCAAUCAUUUAGAGGAAGUAAAAGUCGUAACA
rnacentral:rRNA from 1 species